CAAGGGGGAGGGACUUGGACGGCGUAUAUGAUUUUGGACAAAUGAGAUGUGAAAUCAUUUGGAGACGACGGCGGUGGAGAUGUAGCAAUCCGGGCGGGCAGCCCCAACUCCCCUGUUUGCUGCGGGGAGGACAGGGGCUGAGGAUGUGGAGGACGGCGUGCGAGGAAAAAAAAGGAAAAAAAAUUAAAAAAAACAAGAGGACCCGUUAGAUUAAAAAUGGACGGAGCCGGUGGGACGUCACGAUGCGCCGUCGCCACAAAGCUGAGUACGCCGCUCAUGAACGCGCUCAUUUGGCUCCCAGCAUGCCGCACGUCCGGAGGGACCAGUGGUUUCCAGGAGCUCAUCUAAACCCAGAGCAACCAACCCCGCUGCACCCGCGGAGGAGAAAAUCAACACUUGGAAGCAUAGAAGAUGAAGAUCAAGUCUACCUCCAACUUCCAGGUGUAUCAGAGGUUGUGUGUGUGUGUGUGUCUGUGUGUCGCUGGUCGAAAGCUGCGCUCGCAGGCCUGAGGGGUUGUCUGUUAUCUUUGGUUAUCUAGCUGUAUGAGUGACGUACAUUCUUCAUAAAGCUAGAUAACCGAAAGUAACAAGAAUCCCAUUACACGCCUGCGUGGGAAAACAACAUAAAGCACAUACAGAAGAGGAGGAGGAGGAGGAGGUGGUGGAGGAGGAGGUGGCUGAUGGAUGCUGCUAAGCAAUGAGUGAAGGUUUCCGAUCUUCCACCUAAAGCUGGGAGACUCAUCACGCUCGGAGUCACACUGGACUACAUCUUUUUAUCGACCUGGAGCUCAAACACAGUGACAGCUUCUUCUCUCACUGAACGCUGUGACGCCGGACGCUUAAACCGUCAGACGCGGAUACAGACGUCACCGUGGUGUCGUCCAGCCCAGCUGAUCGCGUUCAUCUGAGAGUGGACAGAACGCUUUGAACACUGAAGACGUUUGGCCGCUUUGAGGCUGAAGAUCCGAGUGAACUACGUCCCUGCGGAUUCUUUGUGUGUGUGUGUUGUACGUUGUGCUCUAGGGAGCUGCUCCGCACAGCUGUUCAGGAAACAUCUGCACUAGAUUUUAACGUAGGUCAGAUUAUUCACUACUCACACACACACAAAAAUUCGAUUUAUGUCAUUAGUAAUAUAAUAGAAUUUGAACUUAAUAGAAAUAGUGGGAAGUAGAACAAAAUGCAAAUAUGUUUUUAGAUAUAGAUUUAUGUAUUUUCUUACCUCUUUUUAUUCACUUUUAAAUAUUUUUAGCUAGAAAUUAAAUUUGUCUCGUGUAAAACUGGAUGUUUCAAUCAAAUGUUAGACAAUCUGAGUGAAUGAUGAGUGACAUUUAGAUUUUUUUUGUUUCUUCUAGUGCAAUAUUUGAAGGGUUUUUUUGGUUCAGAUGCAUCAACCACAAGUUUGAAAGAAUUAUAUUUUCAGACACUAACAGCAGUGAACAGUAGAUAUCGGUUUCAUUUCUAUCAUGUUUCCGUAAAACCUUUGUUCCUCAAACUGGUUUUAAACGUUUAAAUCAUUUGGGGUGAGAACACUAAUCAAUGACGCAGCUCUUAUAUGGUGUUAAAAGGUUAUUUCAGAGGCUUAAUUACAUUUGAUUUUGAACACGCAAUAGAAGUAUAAGGAGAAAACUCUGUGGCCGUUUAUUCACGAUGGCUACGAAAUAUUUUGUCCAGUCGAAACUACCCAACGUUUACUUUUAAUCUAUGCAAAAGAAAAUUGGUGGAUUCUCACUAUUUGAACAAGUGUUUGCACUCAAGUAUUCUUGUUUAGUUUGCACAUUAGCUGUAGUUAACGUAAGGGUUCAGGUUGUGUCCACAGACUGAGUGAAAUGUGUUGAACUGUGAUGUUGCACGAUACGGGCACAGGUGCAAUAUGUGUGUGUGUGUGUGUGUGUGCGAUGUUGGUGAAAUGGUAGCCAUAGAAACGGUUAAUGUGUGUGUGUGGUGUUCAGUUGAUUUAAUCAAUAAUUUGCACUGUUUAGUCUCAGAGACUCGAAUCUGCGUUUCUUCCACGUUUCAUUUGUAUCAAAUCAGCUUCUCUGAUAAUUUGAUAACAACUAUGUGACUGGUUUGUGUGGUUUGUGUGAAUGUGUGCGAUGGAUUUUAAUACAGUUUAGAGGGAAUGAUGCGUUUGAUCUUGAUAUUAUGCACUAUAAAUGAUGUCUCAGGAUUCUUAAAUGCUGAAUUUGCACGGCAGAUACUUGUACUAUACUUUUUUACUAUGCAACUGUUUUUAUUGCGACUAAUAUAAUCAAUAAAAGUAUCGAUGUUUACAACGAGA